ACGAACGCUGGCGGCGUGCUUAACACAUGCAAGUCGAACGGAAAGGCCCUGCUUUUGUGGGGUGCUCGAGUGGCGAACGGGUGAGUAACACGUGAGUAACCUGCCCUUGACUUUGGGAUAACUUCAGGAAACUGGGGCUAAUACCGGAUAGGAGCUUCUUCUGCCUGGUGGGUGUUGGAAAGUUUCGGCGGUUGGGGAUGGACUCGCGGCUUAUCAGCUUGUUGGUGGGGGAGUGGCUUACCAAGGCUUUGACGGGUAGCCGGCCUGAGAGGGUGACCGGCCACAUUGGGACUGAGAUACGGCCCAGACGCCUACGGGAGGCAGCAGGGGGGAAUAUUGCACAAUGGGCGGAAGCCUGAUGCAGCAACGCCGCGUGCGGGAUGACGGCCUUCGGGGUGUAAACCGCUUUCGCCUGUGACGAAGCGUGAGUGACGGUAAUGGGUAAAGAAGCACCGGCUAACUACGUG
rnacentral:rRNA from 1 species